AGAGCUGAAUUGGAGGACCAGAAAGAAGGCCAGCGUGAGUGGAGUCCCAAGGGAGGAGACAGAGAAGUGGCCAGGGCCAGCCCAGCCUGGAUGGCAAAAGCGACAGACCCUCCCUCAGAGGGACAAGGAUGAGACGGCCGAACCAGUGCUCCUGCCCGGGCUCCACAGGCCCCUUUCCUCGCUGGCCCCACUGGAGAGGCAGGGGUUAAGCUCCAUGGCCUGUCCCCUCUGUCACACAUGUACCCUGCCAUCUCUGGGCUCAACUGUCGCUGCGCUGUAUCGGGAC
rnacentral:lncRNA from 1 species